AUUGGGCAAUGGGCGCAAGCCUGACCCAGCAACGCCGCGUGAAGGAAGAAGGCGCUCGGGUUGUAAAAUUCUUUUCUCAGGGACGAAGCAAGUGACGGUACCUGAGGAAUAAGCCACGGCUAACUACGUGGCAGUAGCCGCGGUAAUACGUAGGUGGCAAGCGUUAGCCGGAUUUACUGGGUGUAAAGGGCGUGUAGGCGGGAAAGCAAGUCAGAUGUGAAAACCAUGGGCUCAACCUGUGGCCUGCAUUUGAAACUGUUUUUCUUGAGUACUGGAGAGGCAGACGGAAUUCCUAGUGUAGCGGUGAAAUGCGUAGAUAUUAGGAGGAACACCAGUGGCGAAGGCGGUCUGCUGGACAGCAACUGACGCUGAGGCGCGAAAGCGUGGAGAGCAAACAGG
rnacentral:rRNA from 1 species